UGUAACGGUUGCGGUUGGACAAUACCGAUUCAAAAUAGGUUAUCGCUAUGGUGCUCGGAUAUCGCAUGCAAUAACCUUGGGCCAAUUAGCGCUGCAGGGCAUAGUAUAGUUGGGGUGGGUGCAAGCAAGCUCGAGGUAGGGAACAGCUGAGCUGAGCUGCCGUAAGUGCUGUGCAGCGCAUCGCAACGGAGCUUUCGAAGCCGAGCUUUAAGAUCGGUAAGCUCGUAUUUAAGCAGUGCAAAAGCACCAGAACGUUCUCUUUUGAAAAUUUGAAUCUGUGCAGCCGGUGGCUAUCGCCGCUUCGGAAAAAAAAAUAUAUAACUAAAUCGACCACGUGUAAUCCCAAAAGAAAAGAAAAGUAAGAAAGUACAACCCGAAUAAGUGCCACAAAGACAAACCGAGAAUAAAUAAAACGUAACGGGGAAAGUCCCACACGGUGGGCGCGCCGCAGAAAUCGGGCGACAAUUAAUAACCGUGCGCCGAGAAAAGUGGCAAGUGUUGUUCUUGGUGCAAACCCGUGCGUCCCACAACUCGGCCAGGAGCACCCAACACUCGUGUCUCCGUGGAAAAAGCCCGGAAAAACCGGGCCCUGGCCCCGAGCGGUAGCCACCCGGCUCUCCCAAAGUUCUGCCCCCACCCACACCAAACUCCCACCCUUGACGGGAGUACUCUUCGGAGUCGACCUUGGUGUGGGGCCGGGAUUUUUGUUCCCCUUUUGGAGUCGAGGAAGCAUCCACCUGCCCGGUGACAUAACCUCCACCGGCCCUAACCCUUGCGCCAUAUCUAACGUACGCGCAUAGAGGGCAUCGAGGGCAUAGAGAGUACCCCCCCCUCCCUAUGCGCCGCUAACUCGCUGUCUGCGACGGCCUAGAAGACGCCGCCACGGAUCCGGACCGAGAUUUUGUAGCAUAGUGUAGUUUUAAUUGUAAUUUUUUUCUUGUUCUUUAAGCACUUAUAUUCUUUAACUCUGAGGUACAGUCCUACCUCGCUAGGCGUGAAGGUGCCAGCUCCCAAAACGAAAUUUAUUUUUCGGGUUGGAGACUUAACGAUGUAAUCAUAAAAUAACCGACUACAAAAGAAAACCUUUUCAUACCCCCCCCUAUUUCCCAAUCCCCCUCCGAUUUGGGCACACACUAACAGGGUCUCCACAGCUCCACAAUGAAAGGCGCCUUUCAGCGAGGGACCACUGUAUGCAAGCCGUAAGUGAACCAAUUUUAAUAUUCUCCUUUGCGCUUGUAUUCGUUCAAAUCUAAAACGCAUGCGCAGCGGCCAGCCGCUGCUGAUAAGAGAGCGCAACGCUUGCGUUCCACACGCUCGAAGCUUUUCGGUCUCUUCGGUGCCAAUGCUGCUAAGCUUGCAUUGCUCGCAUUCCCUGCAUUCUUUUAAUGCAUGGAAACGUAGCCAAGCAAUACACUAACCAACAUA